rnacentral:lncRNA from 1 species
GGGAGCGUGACACUGCGUGGCGCUCCUCCUCGCCCCCGGAACCGUGGAAGGCGUGGGCCGAAAUGCUUCUCCUCCCGCCAGGUCCCGAAGCUCCGCGGCUGA